AUCAGAAACAGGCCCAUUCUUUCAUGGGGGGAACUACAUAAUUAUCUGCAUAUGGAUUAUACAUCUCCUGUUCCUGUCUUCAGAGCUACAGUGAAACCUGGACAGAGACAGGCUGAUUUGCUAAAUUGGGAACAUACUCCUUCAGUCAGUAUGGAUGUUAGAAAGCUAAUUAAAGGACAUAGCAGCUGACAAGUGAAUCUUCAAUCCCUGUCAAAUCCCUUAAGUUUAUGACCAGUGUGAAGUAGUUCAUAUAGAAAAUAAAUUUUUACUCCUGAA